ACGCUGGCGGCAGGCUUAACACAUGCAAGUCGAACGGUAACAGGAAUUAGCUUGCUAAUUUGCUGACGAGUGGCGGACGGGUGAGUAACGCUUGGGAAUCUGGCUUAUGGAGGGGGAUAACUACGGGAAACUGUAGCUAAUACCGCGUAAAAUCUUCGGAUUAAAGGGUGGGACUUUCGAGCCACCUGCCAUAAGAUGAGCCCAAGUGGGAUUAGGUAGUUGGUUAGGUAAAGGCUGACCAAGCCGACGAUCUCUAGCUGGUCUGAGAGGAUGACCAGCCACACUGGAACUGAGACACGGUCCAGACUCCUACGGGAGGCAGCAGUGGGGAAUAUUGCACAAUGGGGGGAACCCUGAUGCAGCCAUGCCGCGUGAAUGAAGAAGGCCUUCGGGUUGUAAAGUUCUUUCGGUGACGAGGAAGGUUGAUAGGUUAAUAGCCUAUCAAAUUGACGUUAAUCACAGAAGAAGCACCGGCUAACUCCGUGCCAGCAGCCGCGGUAAUACGGGGGGUGCGAGCGUUAAUCGGAAUAACUGGGCGUAAAGGGCACGCAGGCGGUGACUUAAGUGAGAUGUGAAAGCCCCGAGCUUAAUUUGGGAAUUGCAUUUCAUACUGGGUCGCUAGGGUACUUUAGGGAGGGGUAGAAUUCCACGUGUAGCGGUGAAAUGCGUAGAGAUGUGGAGGAAUACCGAAGGCGAAGGCAGCCCCUUGGGAAUGUACUGACGCUCAUGUGCGAAAGCGUGGGGAGCAAACAGGAUUAGAUACCCUGGUAGUCCACGCUGUAAACGAUGUCGAUUUGGGGAUUGGGCUUUGAGCUUGGUGCCCGUAGCUAACGUGAUAAAUCGACCGCCUGGGGAGUACGGCCGCAAGGUUAAAACUCAAAUGAAUUGACGGGGGCCCGCACAAGCGGUGGAGCAUGU
rnacentral:rRNA from 1 species